CCUAAUGACGCACCGGAGUGUUUUAGCUGGGAGUAACUCGUGAUUGGCUGAAUCACGCAGCCAUUUGAAAUCCACGCAGCUGAACCAGGAACUACGGAGAAGAUUCUUCCCCUCUUUUAAGUGGUGAAUGAAGGAUGGGGAAAAAGGAUGCAAGUUCUGUCAAGUUGCCGGUCGAUCAGUACCGUAAACAGAUCGCCACUGUCAUUAUAUUGCUUAUGAAUGUUAUGCAUGAACAGACUUGAUGAUCAGAAUGCUCAGCUGGGAACAGACCAGCGUGUUUAAGAAAAAGCCCAAAAUAAAUA